UGUUAAGCUUGGACUGAUGCGUUGGUGGUCCUGUACCACGCGUCAAGUUCUCCUUUUGUAUCAGAUGGCACCCCAUCUGUAUAUCUUUGUACCCAGAAGCCAAUUUUGGCAUGGAUGAAUUAUGAAGAAACUUUGAAUUUCCCCACUUUAAUUUGCAUUAUCGUUUUGGCUCCAACACAAAUCUUUUAAUGAAGUAAGUAGACAUUUGUUGGGCUCAAAUUGAGUAAAUAGUUAAGAGCCCAGUUAAAAAAUGUGGAGUUUCUUCAUGUAUUUGAAGGACACACUUUAUCGAGUCUAUUUGCAGUAGUAGGAUCGGAAGAAUCACAUAUGAAAAAAAGCGGUAUGGAAUGCGGCGAAACCUGGAUGCCGGAAAUUAUCAAGGAAGCCAAGGAGGCGGAUCUUCAUGAAUCACUAGCUGGGAAAUUCCCUGUUGCUUUUGCCAAACCAAUGAGUGAUUUCGAAGGUCGGGCAGAAUCUGAAUUGUAUAGGGAUUUGCUGUACUCUUUGCAAGAUGCUGGGUGCCGGAUGAGGCUGCUGGGGGCAUUAGCAGUUUUCCUGAAGCCAACAAGAACAGGACUCAUGGUAGCAAGGGGGAAGAAUUAAACGGUACUGGUUACACUUUGGCCCAAUUUCUGACAGACAUCGUAGGUUUCACAUCAAAAGUGGGUUUUCAUACUGAUUUGGAUUCCAUCGAUUACCUUGAUGGGAAGAUGCUGAAAGAUGAGACCAAGACUGGUGUUAUGGAAUGGGAACCUAUGGGAUCGAAUCCCUUGUAUCAUCAGGUUGAGAAGAAGCAGCCGGGGAUCAAAUGGUUGAAUUUGUGGGACAGCGCUGAAGAAUCGGAGGACGAAUAAUCUGAGGACCAGGAAACCAAGGACGAGGAUCUGAAUCUGGCUGUUGAGAACUGCUCUGAUGGUAAACAAAAAUCUAAACUUUGUCAGAUCAAAACAAAUGAUGCUGGAGUGUCUUAUGUCCGUGUGGGCGACUAUGUGUAUGUGAAAGACUCUGAAAAGGAAGAAAACAGUGAAGAUGGAUAUAGUGAAGAAGAAGGAGAAGGUUGUCCCAUUUGUUUCGACCUGGAUCACAAUAACAAUAACUGCCCAUGGCUAGUUAAUGUUCCACCAGGUAAAACAGUUGGGCGUCUCUAUGACAUAGAAUGCAAGGGUUGUGGUAAGUUGGGACCUGCAUGCUGUUCUGAGGGAGGACGUGCUGUUCUCAGGAGGUGUGGUCAUUGUUAUGAUUUUGGUCACUGGGGGGACGUCUGCCCGAACUAUAAGUAUAUGCCCCUUUCGGCCUUCCCACAUUAUCCAUGACAAAUCCGCUAUCCCCUUUCUCUUUCUGCAAGAAAUCGAAUGCGUCCUCAAAAUAACAUUUCGUGUUGACACAAAAGCAACCGAGUGUUCUUUAUCUGCCUUUGUACUUGGCGCUUCGAGCUUGAUCAUUUAAGUGUUGAGAGUUUCUGAUUUGUAGGUUAUAUUUUAAACAGUGAAUUUGAUUUUCAGUUGGACUGGCCAUUAAAUUGUAAGCGCUAGCUAGCUUCUUAUGAUUCAGGUAUAGGUGUGGGUUAAGAUCGAUAUGCAUUUUGAUUGUGUUUAAGAUCGAUGAGAAUACCGUUGCACUUUGUAUUCUGUUUUAGACGAGUGUUACAAAUUGAUC